UAGGGAAUCUUCGGCAAUGGACGAAAGUCUGACCGAGCAACGCCGCGUGAGUGAAGAAGGUUUUCGGAUCGUAAAACUCUGUUGUUAGAGAAGAACAAGGACGUUAGUAACUGAACGUCCCCUGACGGUAUCUAACCAGAAAGCCACGGCUAACUACGUGCUAGCAGCCGCGGUAAUACGUAGGUGGCAAGCGUUGUCCGGAUUUAUUGGGCGUAAAGCGAGCGCAGGCGGUUUCUUAAGUCUGAUGUGAAAGCCCCCGGCUCAACCGGGGAGGGUCAUUGGACCCUCUGAGACUUGAGUGCCGAAUACUCGCGUGUCCUUCCCUGUGUCGCCGUGACCUGCGUCCCUAUCUGUCUCACCCCCCUUGGCUACUGCGGCUCUCUGGUCUGUACCUGACGCUGAGGCUCGAAAGCGUGGGGAGCAAACAGG
rnacentral:rRNA from 1 species